AAUGAACGCUGGCGGCAGGCCUAACACAUGCAAGUCGAACGAGUGGCGGACGGGUGAGUAAUGUCUGGGAAACUGCCUGAUGGAGGGGGCUAACUACUGGAAACGGUAGCUAAUACCGCAUACCAUCGGAUGUGCCCAGAUGGGAUUAGCUAGUAGGGUGGGGAAAGGCGAACCUAGGCGACGAUCCCUAGCUGGGCUGAGAGGAGGACCAGCCACACUGGAACUGAGACACGGUCCAUACUCCUACGUUAGGCAGCAGUGGGGAAUAUUGCACAAUGGGCGCAAGCCUGAUGCAGCCAUGCCGAGUGGAUGAGGAAGGCCUUCGGGUUGUAAAGUACUUUCAGCGGGGAGGCGUUACCCGCAGAAGAAGCACCGGCUAACUCCGUGCCAGCAGCCGCGGUAAUUC
rnacentral:rRNA from 1 species